AGGACGAACGCUGGCGGCGUGCUUAACACAUGCAAGUCGAGCGGUAAGGCCUUUCGGGGUACACGAGCGGCGAACGGGUGAGUAACACGUGGGUGAUCUGCCCUGCACUUCGGGAUAAGCCUGGGAAACUGGGUCUAAUACCGGAUAUGACCUCCUAUCGCAUGGUGGGUGGUGGAAAGAUUUAUCGGUGCAGGAUGGGCCCGCGGCCUAUCAGCUUGUUGGUGGGGUAAUGGCCUACCAAGGCGACGACGGGUAGCCGACCUGAGAGGGUGACCGGCCACACUGGGACUGAGACACGGCCCAGACUCCUACGGGAGGCAGCAGUGGGGAAUAUUGCACAAGUGGGACGAAAGCCUGAUGCAGCGACGCCGCGUGAGGAUGACGGCCUUCGGGUUGUAAACCUCUUUCAGCAGGGACGAAGCGCAAGUGACGGUACCUGCAGAAGAAGCACCGGCUAACGCGUGCCAGCAGCCGC
rnacentral:rRNA from 1 species